rnacentral:rRNA from 1 species
ACACAUGCAAGUCAAGGGGGCCCGCAAGGGCAACCGGCGAACGGGUGCGUAACACGUGAGCAACCUGCCUUUGAGAGGGGGAUAGCCGGCCCAACGGCCGGGUAAUACCGCAUACGUUCUUCUGGUGGCAUCACCGGGGGAAGAAACGCUUGACGGCUCAAAGAGGGGCUCGCGGCCUAUCAGCUAGUUGGUGCGGUCACGGCGCACCAAGGCGACGACGGGUAGCUGGUCUGAGAGGAUGGCCAGCCACAUUGGGACUGAGAAACGGCCCAGACUCCUACGGGAGGCAGCAGUGGGGAAUCUUGCGCAAUGGCCGAGAGGCUGACGCAGCGACGCCGCGUGGGGGAUGAAGCAUUUCGGUGUGUAAACCCCUGUUGCUCGGGACGAACGAUCCUUUUCGAGGGAUGUGACGGUACCGAGUGAGGAAGCACCGGCUAACUCCGUGCCAGCAGCCGCGGUAAUACGGAGGGUGCGAGCGUUGUCCGGAAUCACUGGGCGUAAAGGGCGCGUAGGUGGUUGGAUGCGCCGGUGGUGAAAGCGCAGGGCUCAACCCUGCGUCGGCCAUCGGGACGGUCCGACUGGAGCACUGUAGAGGCAGGUGGAAUUCCGGGUGUAGCGGUGGAAUGCGUAGAGAUCCGGAAGAACACCGGUGGCGAAGGCGGCCUGCUGGGCAGUUGCUGACACUGAGGCGCGACAGCGUGGGGAGCAAACAGGAUUAGAUACCCUGGUAGUCCACGCCGUAAACGAUGGGCACUAGGUGCUUGGGGGAGCGACCCCCUGAGUGCCGACGCUAACGCAUUAAGUGCCCCGCCUGGGGAGUACGACCGCAAGGUUGAAACUCAAAGGAAUUGACGG